rnacentral:rRNA from 1 species
GACGAACGCUGGCGGCGUGCUUAACACAUGCAAGUCGAACGGGCCCGCUCUCUUUUUUGGGGGUGGGUUGAGUGGCGAACGGGUGAGUAUCACGUGAGUAACCUGCCCCCUGCUCCUGGAUAACUGCUUGAAAGGGCGGCUAAUACGGGGUGUGCCGGCUGGUCCGCAUGGGCCUGGUCGGGAUAGUUUCAUCUUCGGGUGUUUCGGUGGGGGAUGGGCUCGCGGCCUAUCAGCUUGUUGGUGGGGGGAUGGCCCACCAAGGCGGUGACGGGUAGCCGGCCUGAGAGGGUGGGCGGCCACACUGGGACUGAGACACGGCCCAGACUCCUGCGGGAGGCAGCAGUGGGGGGUAUUGCACAAUGGACGGAAGCCUGAUGCAGCGACGUCGCGUGAGGGAUGGAGGCCUUCGGGUUGUGAACCUCUUUCUCCGGUGGUGAAGGCCCUGUCCGUUGCGGCGGGGUUGACGGUAGCCGGGUAUGAAGCGCCGGCUAACUACGUG